rnacentral:lncRNA from 1 species
UACCAACUACCAAGUAGCAACUCAGGACCCCACCUACUACCUAGUACCAACUACCCAGUACCAACUCAGUAUCCCACCUACUACCCAGUACCAAAUCAGUACCACACCUACUACCCAAUACCAACUCAGUACCCCACCUGUUAUCCAGUACCCCACCUACUAUCCAGUACCAACUCAGUACCCCACCUACUAUCCAGUACCAACUACCCAGUACCAACUCAGUAUCCCACCUACUAUCCAGUACCAACUCAGUACCCCACCUACUAUCCAGUACCAACUCAGUACCCCACCAACUACCCAGUACCAACUACCCAGUACCAACUCAGUACCCCACCUACUAUCCAGUACCAACUACCCAGUACCAACUCAGUAUCCCACGUACUAUCCAGUACCAACUCAGUACCACACCUACUACCCAGUACCAACUCAGUACCCCACCUGUUAUCCAGUACCAACUCAGUACCCCACCUACUAUCCAGUACCAACUCAGUACCCCACCAAUUACCCAGUACCAACUACCCAGUACCAAUUACCCAGUACCAACUACCCAGUACCAACUACCCAGUACAAACUACCCAGUACAAACUACCCAGUACCAACUACCCAGUACCAACUACCCAGUACCAACUCAGGACCCCACCUACUACCCAGUACCAAUUACCCAGUACCAACUACCCAGUACCAACUACCCAGUACCAACUACCUAGUACCAACUACCAAGUAGCAACUCAGGACCCCACCUACUACCUAGUACCAACUACCCAGUACCAACUCAGUAUCCCACCUACUACCCAGUACCAAAUCAGUACCACACCUACUACCCAAUACCAACUCAGUACCCCACCUGUUAUCCAGUACCCCACCUACUAUCCAGUACCAACUCAGUACCCCACCUACUAUCCAGUACCAACUACCCAGUACCAACUCAGUAUCCCACCUACUAUCCAGUACCAACUCAGUACCCCACCUACUAUCCAGUACCAACUCAGUACCCCACCAACUACCCAGUACCAACUACCCAGUACCAACUCAGUACCCCACCUACUAUCCAGUACCAACUACCCAGUACCAACUCAGUAUCCCACGUACUAUCCAGUACCAACUCAGUACCACACCUACUACCCAGUACCAACUCAGUACCCCACCUGUUAUCCAGUACCAACUCAGUACCCCACCUACUAUCCAGUACCAACUCAGUACCCCACCAACUACCCAGUACCAACUACCCAGUACCAACUCAGUACCCCACCUACUAUCCAGUACCAACUCAGUACCCCACCUACUAUCCAGUACCAACUCAGUACCCCACCUACUAUCCAGUACCAACUCAGUACACCACCUACUACCCAGUGCCCAAACCCUCUAUCAUGUGGGCUCAAACAGGGGCCUGUUCAGGAAGAUGUAAUGUUACAGAACUUUCAGCUAAAAUAA